rnacentral:rRNA from 1 species
AGAGUGAACGCUGGCGGCAGGCCUAACACAUGCAAGUCGAACGGCAGCACAGCAGAGCUUGCUCUGUGGGUGGCGAGUGGCGGACGGGUGAGGAAUACGUCGGAAUCUGCCUUUUUGUGGGGGAUAACGUAGGGAAACUUACGCUAAUACCGCAUACGACCUACGGGUGAAAGCGGAGACCUUCGGGCUUCGCGCAGAAAGAUGGAGCCGACGUCGGAUUAGCUAGGUUGGAGGGGUAAUGGACCCACCAAGGCGACGAUCCGUAGCUGGUCUGGAGAGGAUGAUCAGCCACACGUGGACUGACGACACGGCCCAGUACCUCCGUAGGGAGCAGCGAGGUAGGGGAAUAGUUGGACAAGGUGGGC